rnacentral:rRNA from 1 species
CAGUAGCCACGGGAAUACGUAGGGUGCGAGCGUUAAUCGGAAUUACUGGGCGUAAAGCGUGCGCAGGCGGUCAUAUAAGACAGAUGUGAAAUCCCCGGGCUCAACCUGGGACCUGCAUUUGUGACUGUAUAGCUAGAGUACGGUAGAGGGGGAUGGAAUUCCGCGUGUAGCAGUGAAAUGCGUAGAUAUGUGGAGGAAUACCGAUGGCGAAGGCAGCCCCCUGGGAUAACACUGACGCUCAUGCACGAAAGCGUGGGGAGCAAACAGGAUUAGAUACCCCGUAGUCCCUGUCUCUUAUACC